UUCAUCACUCCUCCCUGCUCCAUUAUCAGAUAAGGUAACAAUGUGGGUCGACACACAAGUUAACUUCUCUUAGUACAUACAUUGCACACUUAUGUCAAUGUUCAUAUUUAAUAUAAGUAAUAUGUAUUAUACUUACGUAUGUUGUGGAUGAGCGCAUUGUUUGUUUGUUCUCUUCCUCUCUCUCUCUCUGUAGCUUCUGGGUAUGCUGGAUAAGGACCCAAGCUAAGGGAAUGGGAUGACUUUGUAGUGCCUGUCCCGAAUGGUGCACUAUCCUUCUGAACCUAUGCAGCCAGGUCCCAUCUACUUUUGAACUCCUCGCAACUGCAGAGGUCAAAACAACAACAAGCAUGUGCAGACCAUGCACAAGCUCCACCACAGUCUGGACCAUCACUUCCUGAACACAGGCCACACCAAGUUUGCCCCUGACUGGUGCUUCAGUCGCAUCAAGCAGCUGGUGUUGUGAAGGACAGCACUGUGACAGGGGUCGACAUCCCACAGCUGGUUGGACUGGAGGAUGGUACGGUGCUGGUGGAAAGCUAUGGCUGGCAACAACACCUGACUCCGUACUUCAGGCCGCUGACACAGUUUACAUUUACAUUUAAGUCAUUUAGCAGACGCUCUUAUCCAGAGCGACUUACAGUUCAAGCAGUACCAGCACUUCAGCUUCGGUGCUCUGGAGCCUGGUGUUGUUGUCACCAAGGAGCGUUCAAACUCAGUCGGGACCAGGUUUCAGCUGCUGCCCAAUGCUGACAUCCUUCCUCCAUAGAUGGUCUGCCUGUACAAGCACCACCUGGACUGGAAACAGCUAGACAAACUUGUGGUUUUGAGAAGAUCAGGGAGUUUUGCAAUGAAGAGGCUAUGGACGUCACAUGACCUGCCCCAAAGUCAAAAGGCAGGACAGAAACAGGAUUUCCAAACAUAGAUUCCCUUGUUCAUGCGUUGUUCGGAUGGACCAGUCAUCAGCACUAUCUGCAGUGCCUCUAUUCAAAUAACUCUCUCCUAUUCAAAUAACUCUCUCCUAAUACGUUGCUGAUACUACUUCUUUUUUUAUCCUGCUGCUCAGCCACUUAACCCCUGACUGUAUGCAUAUAAGACUACCUCAUCUAUCACUGAUAUUGAUAUUGUUCUUACUGUAUAUUAUUUUAUUUAUAUUGACACCAUCUAUUUCUGAUAUUGCUACUAUGCAAGUAACCAUUUGGCUGUACCAUUUACACCUUCUGUAGAGACCCAUCCACUUCGCAAGAUGUGGCUGGGGAUUGGUUAUAGAAUUUCUUUCACAUGACCCAUCAAUUUAGACAAGUGUGUCUGGGUAAGCGUCAGUCUGGACACUUUGUUUACCCUGAAUUUUUCCUUAUUGUAGGCUACUUCUUUUACCACUUUUAGUCUUCAUCUUUACUACACUACUCACUGUUUAGCACAUGAACUCACAUGUGAAUCCUUAAAGAGAUUGGUGGGGCUGGCUUAAGAGGGUGAACAAUGCUGAAUGGGUGGAGACAAAGGAGAGCUCUCCAGUAGGUACCAAAUCAUUCAAAGGCCAUUUUCUCAAAAGUGAGUUUACAAGUUAUUUGGUUGACGAUAUUUCUGAGAACAUUAAAGCCAGAUUAUCAAGUUAUUGAUAGUGUUGAAGUUUGUGACAUUAACACGUUGCCGUUCUCGUACCAGUGUGUAGUUAACAGAGUAUUCAACAAUAGCUGAAUCGGUUCGACUUCAAAAUAAAAGUACCACAUUGAAACUGUGAAACUGACCCAAAACGGAUACAAAUAGUGUUAUCAUUCCAUAAUUGGGUUAGAUCAUACUAAACAACUUUGGAAUGUUAUGUAAAUUCAACAAAAGACAAAUCAGUUCAUUCGAUUUUAAAAAAUAAGUGAAACUCAGUUGAAACCGCACUGUUCAGACUUCAGAAUUGCAUUGGGAGGCAUACUUAUUUGAACUGUACAGCAUAACCUAUGGAUUGUGAGCUAUGCAAUGUGGUAUCAGACUAGUGACACCCACAGAACAAAACUCUGAUUAUGGGUAAAAACAUUGUCCGACUUGUGCCUACAUGAAUUUGACAAAAAAUCAACUGAUCAAAGAUCAUGGAGUUUUCACUGCAGUCAACUGCAAGUUUCUGCAGUCUCUCUUCAGCAACUUCAUCCUGCAUUGUGGGUGGCUCUAUUGUCACACAAUCAUUAGGGUGUUUUUGUUUGACCUACCCGAACGUGACCAAAGACAUGACUGAAAGAGGAACCAACUUUGCACAAUACAUGUAUAAGGUGGAUAUGUUCAAAUUCACGUGAUGUGAGGUGCUCUCUCACCGAUUGAUUGUACAGUGUACACACAUAUUUUCAGUUUGUGAAUGCGUGAUGUGGGGGGGUUUGAGACGUUCAUUUCGACAUUAUAAAGAACACAUUUAAUAAACAAUGACAACACUGCAA